rnacentral:tRNA from 1 species
GCGGAUGUGACGUAAUUGGCAGGCGUACAAGACUUAAAAUCUUGUGGUAUUUAUACCGUGUGGGUUCAAGUCCCAUCAUCCGUA